AUGAGGAGCGGGCGCGGCGGCCGGCGGUGCCUGGGCGGGGAGCCGGGUGCGUGCGCCAUGAACCCCGAGUUGGCGAUGGAGCCGCUGGGCAGCCUGCACGGGGCGGCGGGGCACGAGCCGGAGCUGAUGGGCAGCCCCAGCCCGCACCACGGCGGACGCGGCGCGGGGCCGCUCCGGGUACCGCCCCCGCCGCCGCCGCCGCCGCCGCCGCCGCCGCACCAGGAGCUGCCCCCCGCCGCCCGGCCCGCCAUGGUGCCCAGCAUGGCCUCGCUGCUGGACGGCGCCGCCGAGUACCGGCCCGAGCUGUCCAUCCCGCUGCACCACGCCAUGAGCGUGCCCUGCGAGGCCUCGCCGCCCGGCAUGGGCAUGAGCGGCACCUACACCACGCUGACGCCGCUCCAGCCCCUGCCGCCCAUCUCCGCCGUCUCCGACAAGUUCCACCACCCGCACGCCCACCCGCACGCCCACCACCACCACCACCACCACCACCAGCGCCUGCCGAGCGGCGCCGGCGGCGGCUUCGCGCUGAUGCGGGACGAGCGCGGGCUGCCGGCCGUGAACAGCCUGUACGGGCCCUACAAGGAGGUGCCGGCCGUGGGGCAGAGCCUCUCGCCGCUGGGCAACGGGCUGGGCCCGCUGCCGGGCGCCCAGCAGGGCCUGCACGGCUACGGCCCGCCGGGCCCCGACAAGAUGCUGAGCCCCAACUUCGAGGCGCACGCGGCGAUGCUGGCGCGGGGGGAGCAGCCGCUGCCCCGCGGGCUCGGGACGCCCCCGGCCAUGCUGCCGCCGCUGAACGGCGCGCACCACCCCGCGCCCCCCGGCCCGCCGCCCCCGCACGGCCCCGCGCUGCCCCCCGGCCGCGACCGCCCGGCCCCCGCCAACGGCCCGCAGGGCAGCGGCGCGGGGCAGCUGGAGGAGAUCAACACCAAGGAGGUGGCACAAAGGAUCACGGCGGAGCUGAAGCGCUACAGCAUCCCCCAGGCCAUCUUCGCCCAGCGGGUGCUGUGCCGCUCCCAGGGGACCCUCUCGGACUUGCUGCGGAACCCCAAGCCUUGGAGUAAACUCAAGUCCGGGCGGGAGACGUUCCGCAGGAUGUGGAAGUGGCUGCAGGAGCCGGAGUUCCAGAGGAUGUCGGCCCUGCGGCUCGCAGCCUGCAAACGCAAAGAGCAAGAGCCCAGCAAAGAGCGGAACAACUCCCAGAAGAAAUCCCGCCUGGUGUUCACGGACCUGCAGCGCCGGACGCUCUUCGCCAUCUUCAAGGAGAACAAGCGCCCCUCCAAGGAAAUGCAGAUCACCAUCUCCCAGCAGCUGGGGCUGGAGCUCACCACCGUCAGCAACUUCUUCAUGAACGCCCGCCGGCGCAGCCUGGAGAAGUGGCAGGACGACCUGAGCUCCGGGGGCUCCUCCUCGGCCCCCGGCAGCUGUCCCAAGGCCUGAGGGGCACGGCCGGCGCGGCGCGGCAGAGAGAGCGGCUUGGCGUCCUGCAGGGCCCUCCACCCGUGACUUCUAAAGCACAAUCCUCCCACGACCACCCCAGCCCAGCCGUCCCCGAGGACGUUCCUACGGCUCCCCGUCGGUCCCAGCAGGCGCCGGUUCCACGUCCACCUCCCCCUGGACAACGCAGAGCUCAGGGCAGGCGAGGCAGGUCUGAAACGCGGGGGAGCCGUUCCCGAGGCGAGUUUCUCCUGAGCCCGGAGCUCCCGAUCCGGCGCCUGCCGUGUGCUGGCCACACCGCCCCGCCAGAACGGAGCACAAAGCCUGGCACUAAAGAACCCCAGACCCCGCGUUUAAACUCAGGCGUGGUUUUCGUGAAGCGUUUUUAAAGGAGACAAAGAAAGGUCGAAUUUUAAGUUUUCCUUAGUUUCCUUAGGUUUUUUACUCAAUCAGCUUGUUCUUGGAUCAGAGCAAUCCAGUUCCCUCGAGCUCAGAGUAUCAAGCACAAAGCCGUAGCUGCAGCGCUGGGCCCAGCCCUGGGCUCCCCGGGGCUGUGCCGGCUGCGGCCCGACAUCCCGGGAACGCCGCAGGAGCCCCAGGCACAGCUGGCAGUUCCUCCCAAAGUUCCUCCCAAGGCCUGUGUUUGUACCUCAUGCACACUCAGGAGGUCGAUGGAACUGCUACAGUACGCGGAGCGAACGCAACGUUUCCAAAGAUCUGGGGUUUUUUUCUUUUUAGGUCAUUCUUACACCCCUUUUGGGUUCCCCGGAAUCUGGUUUCUCCUCGGCGACGUCCUCGUUGCCGAAACCUUUUUAGCGCUCGAGGCGUUUCUGUUCAUUUUUUUUUUCGGUAUUUUAUGGUACUUUCAAGCAGGAAAAAAAAAAACCCCCCAGCAACGAGCCCUCCGGAUGCCACCGAGCGUUUCAGACGUGCCGCAUCGACCCCCCCCCACUGCAUCCCCCCAUUCCUUUUCCCCGCCCGCUGCCCGAGCCGGCGGGAACACAGCACACCAAAGAGACAGGAUUUCUGCAAGCCAAAGAUGUUCCUAACCCGCCAUUUCUCCUCGCCAUGGCUGGUGUGGGUGGUCGGGGAAGCCCCCCGAGCUCCGAGCCCUCUCUCGGCCGCGGCCGCCCCGUGACCGGUGACCGAGCGCGGCCGCGGCUCUUUAAGAGACACUUGAGACUUUUUUUUUUAUGUGCUACUUAAUCGAAACCAAAGAAACGUUUUUUCUGCACCUACUUCUUCUGCAACGAACUGUUCCAUUGAAAGAUAAAAUAAAAAUUAAAAAAACAAAACAAAAAAAAAAAAACCAAACAAAAAAGACCCAACAAGGAAGCGCGUCAGGAAGCAAACGAGUCCCACACUGUGUUUUACAGACAUCUCGGACGUGUUCGGAAGCAGAUCUCAAAGAAAGGGUUGACCAAGAAUGAGAACAAAGCAAAGCCAGUACGAUUGCUGCUUCAUUUGACAACUCCAGUCAUCCCAAAGUCGAAGAUUGUCUUUAAUUUGUGCCUAUGCAGUUUUUUCAAAAAGAACAAGGAACAGAGCAACCAAAACCUCAACAGCUACAAUACCAAAGAUGAGGAUUCUCACGACCUGUGUUUCAGUUUGUUUUCUCCUCUUGCACGACUAAUGCACACGACCCCACUGGUCUCUGGACAGACUGGUGUGCACAGAGAGUAUCCCAGCAUCUUCCGGACCGGGAACUUGGAGUUACAAGCGUGGGCACGGCCGAGAUGAAUUCAACUUUCCAGAACCCUUGGAUGUUGCUUUAGCUGCCCCCGAAGGAACAAGGAAUGUGCUCGAUGGCUUCGGUUGAAUAGCUUUAUUCUGGGAUCUCUCUGACCUACAGCUGAACCCAAAGACCUGAGAAGGACCCAACCAGCAAACCUCGCUCAUCCCUGCCCGAGGGAAGGGGGGAUCCCAGCCCUGCAGGAGGGAAUGGGAAUCUCCCCUCCCAGAGGAAGACACGGUAACCACCCAAACUGGCUUCGGACACAGCCGGUGCUUUCCUUGCUUGUCACCGUUCCUGAGUGUUUUUAAGACGCGGGGAAACUUUCUACUUGGCCUCCUUUGUAUUUAUGAAGGGGAAUUUUUAUCGGUUAGGUUUUUUUAAAAAGGCAAAGCUUAAAAUGGUUUUGUUUUGUUUUUGUUUUUUUUUUCCAGACACCUGUGGGUUUUGACCCGAUAUAGUAUCUAUCAAUAAUGUAAUUUAUUUAAUUCAGUCUUAGGGCAGGUCCUGAGACCUCUGUUCAGUCUGAAUUCCCGCUGAGUUGCAUCGGAGCUUUUCAGUUCAGGGGGAGUUUUGCCUGAGUGCAGACUGCAGGGUCAGGCUCCCGUGUUAGCUAUUUGCAACUAUUUAAUUCACUCAUUUAUGAACUCAUUUGGGAUUAAUUUUGCCUGUUUACCAAUUUGACUGUUGCAGCGCAUCAGAGAUGCGAAGCCUGUCAGUAAAUCCACUGAAGAGUUGGUGUUGCUUCCCAGAGCAGCCAGGUUCUGCUGGACAGGGGAAAACCAACUCAUUCCAUGAAGCAGGAGUCUAGUUUUAAUCCCCUCUUUUAAUUAAUUUUACUUGUUUAAGUAUCAAAGUUUAAGUUAUUUAAGUUAAUCCCCUGCCAUCCGAUUGGAAAGGGCGACGUACCUUUAUUAUGGCACAUGAAGCCUUCCUGAUAUGACUAAUUUAUUUAACUUAUUCAUUUAACUUAUUCAUCACCACCCCUGUAGAGUUUUUAUUUUUUGAUUUAGAAUUACCUCUGAAGCACUACAGCUGAUCUCCUGUAAGAGCAGCAGAGCGAACUUUGAGGACAAGCAAUGAACGCUCGAACCUAAAACUGUGUGUUCGGAAAAAAAACAGUUUAAAAAAGAAAAAAAAAAAAAAAAAGGACACUGGGAUACUUUGCCUGAACUUUGUGACUUCUUAAAGCUUAAGCUGGGGGUAAAAUAAUCCAUGCCAAGCAAAAAGAGAGAAACCCUUAAACUAGCUGCUUCCAAGAAUGAACUUCUGUGUGUGGAAAAAAAAAAAAAGAGGAAAAGGAAAAAAAAAAAAGGAAAAAAGAAAAAAAAACAAAAAAACAACACAGAAAAAACCUUUGUAUUUCUAGUGAGAACCAAAGAGGCUACCUCACUGACUUUUCCAUUUGUAAUUUUAAUCGUGUUGAUGAUACCAAAGAUACCAAAGAUUUCUUUCUCUGUGCGGUCUGCAUCCUGCUUGUGCUCUCUGACAGCUCCCCCACCGUUCCCCCCUGCCCUCAGUAACGUUCAGCUGAGCCCAGAUUCCCAAAGAAACGCUUCCCUGGAAGCUGCCAGUUCUGGUGACUGCCCUUUUCUGUGUUCCCUCUGCCUUCCUACCAGCCCAGGCCUUCGGAGGCGUGGAGCAGUGCCCACGCCAGCUCCCGGCCGUGCUGCCCUGGGGGUGAAUCCGGGCUGUGCCCCUCAGAGAUUCCCUGGGGAAAGGCUCUGCAUUGGGGGGGGGGGGGGCAUUUGCAGCAGCAAUUAGCAUCACUAAUUAUUAUUUUCCUGCUUGAGCAGAGCCCAUGGGCUGGUCUGGGGGCGAGGGGGUUCUCCUGCCCCGUGCCCUCCAGGAGGGCCUGGCCGAGCGGGCACAGCAGCUCCAGGGGCUGCUCCCUCCUCCUCACCUUUGCUUGUUGUUUACAAUUCCAGUUUUCACAUAAAAAUCAAUUAAUUACUGUUCUGGAGCUAGCAAUGAGGCGAGGCUACAUUAAGCUCCAUUAGCCCCACGUUCCUGAGCGAUUAUUUCCGAGCCGGGCGGGCGGGCGGGCGGGGAAUUAGCGGUGCCCUUUGGCACCUGGGGCUCGCCGCCGGGUUCGUGCCACCGAACCAAUCCCCCCCUGGGCUCUGCUCGCUCCCCCCACUGCUCUGUGCCCCUGGGCUUCCCCCCAGACCCCAGCCCAGGCUGCAGGGCCUUUCCCUAAGGAAUGUGCCUGAGCCAUGCCCUUGGAUUCACGGAGGUUACCGCUUUAAUUAAGCACCGCCUUUUCUUUCGGGCUUCUUCGGGGCUUUAGGUCUGCGUCGGGAGCGGUAGGACGUGACAAGUGUGCUUUUCUCUCUCUCUCCCUCUCCCUCUCCGUGCCCCUUCAACACAAAGCUAUAAUAAUUCUCAGGAUGCCUUCGGGGCGGGGGGAGCCGCUGUCCCCGGUGCCCUGGGACACAGAGCGUCCCCAGGGCUGGCAGGUCCCGCAGGGUCCCGCGGCUCCCUCCAGACUCAGCCGUUACCCCGGGACGAGUGCCUUGCUUGAACCAAAGCAACCGUGUUUUGCCAGUCUGGAAACCUCUCUGGGCUUUUUUUUUGGGUUUUUUUUUAAUUAUUCUUCCUGUGAAUACCUCAGCUUAACUGGGCCGCCGGGUCGUACCUGGUGGGCUUUGUACUGUGGUGCUUUGCAACGCAGCCCUGCAAAGAACAGACUCCUGAAAAUACCAAAGGCUCUCCUCCUCCUCCUCCCUCUCCCCUACCCCCCCCUCUCUCUCUCUCUCUCUCUCCACGGUUCCAAAGCUUUAUUGCAAAGCGGGCACGUUGGCAAGGCAGACCGUGCAAUCCCUCACCGAGUUUUCUCAGAUAUACCUCAUAGAGAGUAGCUGUUUAGAGUAUGACGUUAUUAUAGCGUGCGUAAGAAAUUAUUCGCCGUUCCUUUUUGUUUCGGUGACCGUGAUUUAA